CCCACUUCUGCUUUUUUACGGCACUCUGAAACCUCUCCCAUUUGAAUGUACCUCACAAGAAUGCAGGACGCAGUUUGUUUCAGGUUGCUCCAACAAUGAAGAAGAGUUGGAUUAUCCUGCUAUUUAUUUCACAUGCAUGGAGCGGAGACUGGCGGGUGACCUUCAAGGACCAGUGUGCCUUGGAAGGGACCUCAGUGCUCAUCGGGUGCGAGUUUGAUUACCCUCGUGGUCAUUUAGUUACUUCAGUUGCCUGGUUUAGAGGUCAGCGGCUGUCUGACCGGUGGGUCCUGUAUUCCCUGUCGACACAAGUUCGCUUCAAUUAUGUGGGCAACUCACGGGGAAACUGCAGUCUGGCGAUCAAUAACUUAAAUCGUGCUGAUGAAGGACAUUACUUCUUUCGUUUCAAGACCGUGUUUAACAGCUGGACCAGCAUGCGUCCACUCCAUUUGUCAGUGAAAGAACUGACAGCUGUUUUGGAGCCAAGUACGGUGACAGAAGGGCAAGAAGUCAGCCUGUCCUGUUGGAGCGGCUGUGCCACGCGGCUGCAGGUAGUCUGGUACCGCGAUGGAACACCAGUACCACGUCAGGUUUUCUCGGCAAGCAUAAAGGAUUCUGGGAGCUACUAUUGUACCGUUCUCGGCCAAAAGAUCCAGUCGGCCUCUGUGGCUUUGAAUGUGCAAUAUGCGCCAAGCGACGUUCUGUUGUCAAUGAAGCCUGCAGGAGACGUCCUCAAUGCGAGCGCAGUGACUCUCGGCUGCAGCAGUCACGCCAACCCACCCGUCCCACAGAGUGGAUACAGCUUGUACAAGGACGAUCAGUUGAUAAGUUCUGGACGCGACCACAUCAUCUCUCCCCUUCAACCCCGCCACAGUGGACUGUACCACUGUCAGGCCUCCAAUAACAUCAGCCGGAGAGGGGUCACGUAUGUCAGCUCUUCUGGGAUGAACCUGGAUGUGCAGUAUCUGCCAAGUGUUGCUGAGGGCAGCAGUGUCAAUGUGACAUGCAGCAGCACAGCCAACCCUGCAAACCACAGCCACAUCUGGUAUAAGUGGACCAACUCCAGCUCCCUGCUCCAAAUGGGCUCAGGACAGGUGAUGUCUCUUCCCUCCAUGGAAACUUCCCAGACUGGAAUGUACCUCUGCCAGACCAGGAACCGUCUUGGCGUCGUCAGCUCCACCAAAGUGCUGCUGGCAAUGGAGGACGAUACUUCUGGUGGUCGGAGCCUCCAAGUCCUGGUGCUUGCUGGACUCGGGGUGUGUCUUUUUGGGAUACUUGUGAUAGCUCUUCUUUUGCUAUGGAAUAAACUGAGGAACAAGGCCGAAAAAAAGGUACAGGGAGCCACUAGGGCGGCGCUAAAGAGCCGCGGGUUGCUGAUCCUCGCUUUAAACCAAGCACAGGUUCCGGCCCAACAUGUCAGCCCUGCAGCCUCUGAAAAUCAACACGACAAUAUUUACGCCAACGUCAGCUUGUCAACGCCGCCCACUCAUCCUCCACCACACAUACUCUCCAAGCAGCAGCACGCUAUUGAUGAACAUGACGAGGUUACUUACUCAACAGUCACCAUCAAAGCCAAACAUCGACAAGAAUCAAGGUUCAAGAUGGAGGAGCAUGACGAAACAGUGAUAUAUUCCAAUGUGGCUAACUCCAGCUAAAUCAUAAUUAUUAUAUUAUUAGGGUAUCUUUGUAAAGUUACAAGCUAUAGAAAAUGGAUGUGUAUAUGUAUAUAUAUAUAUAUAUAUAUAUAUGCAGUACAGGCCAAAAGUUUGGACACACCUCAUUAAAUGCGUUUUCUUUAGUUUCAUGACUAUUUCAAUCAAUCAAUCAAUC